UAAUCUAUCUGAAGCAGAUUCUCGUCUAGUUGUGGUAAACUUAAUUGCUCAAAAUUACCUGUUAUCACAAAUUCGACUAAAUCAUUAAUACUGAAAAAUAAAUGAAAACUACUAAAUGAAUAGUAACUUGGUGU
rfam:Populus trichocarpa scaffold_285_contig_5, whole genome shotgun sequence.